CUGGCGGCGUGCUUAACACAUGCAAGUCGAACGCGAAAGGGACUUCGGUCCUGAGUAAAGUGGCGGCACGGGUGAGUAACGCGUAGAUAACCUGUCUUCAUGUCUGGAAUAAUACGCCGAAAGGGGUACUAAUACCGGAUAUUCUUGCUUUUCAUAAGUUAUGCAAGCAAAGGUGGCCUCUGCAUAUGCUACUGCAUGAAGAGGGGUCUGCGUACCAUUAGCUAGUAGGUGGGGUAAUGGCCUACCUAGGCGACGAUGGUUAGCGGGUCUGAGAGGAUGAUCCGCCACACUGGCACUGGAACACGGGCCAGACUCCUACGGGAGGCAGCAGUGAGGAAUAUUGCGCAAUGGGGGAAACCCUGACGCAGCGACGCCGCGUGAGUGAGGAAGGCCUUCGGGUCGUAAAGCUCUGUCAAGAGGAAAGAAGUGUACAAUGGCUAAUACCUGUUGUAUUUGACGGUACCUCUAAAGGAAGCACCGGCUAACUCCGUGCCAGCCGCCGC
rnacentral:rRNA from 1 species